GGUUGUUCUGAAUCUAACAACUACUGAAGUUUUAAAGUAUGUUCAUGGCAGAUGAGUUAUAUUUUCUACCACAUAGUUGGCAUAUUACAAUAAUAUAACUUUAGCAUUGAAUUUCUCAUUCUACUACUUGACCUUUGACCAAGCAAGGAACCAAGGUCAUUGGAAUUUUGUAAUAUCUAUGUUUGAGUUAUAUAUACUGAUGAA
rnacentral:misc_RNA from 1 species